rnacentral:rRNA from 1 species
AGCUUGCUCUGGUGGAUUAGUGGCGAACGGGUGAGUAACACGUGAGUAACCUACCCUUGACUCUGGGAUAAGCCCGGGAAACUGGGUCUAAUACCGGAUAUGAGUCAUCACCGCAUGGUGGUGGUUUGAAAGAUUUAUCGGUCUUGGAUGGACUCGCGGCCUAUCAGCUUGUUGGUGAGGUAAUGGCUCACCAAGGCGACGACGGGUAGCCGGCCUGAGAGGGUGACCGGCCACACUGGGACUGAGACACGGCCCAGACUCCUACGGGAGGCAGCAGUGGGGAAUAUUGCACAAUGGGCGGAAGCCUGAUGCAGCGACGCCGCGUGAGGGAUGACGGCCUUCGGGUUGUAAACCUCUUUCAGUAGGGAAGAAGCGAAAGUGACGGUACCUGCAGAAGAAGCACCGGCUAACUACGUGCCAGCAGCCGCGGUAAUACGUAGGGUGCGAGCGUUAUCCGGAAUUAUUGGGCGUAAAGAGCUCGUAGGCGGUUUGUCGCGUCUGUCGUGAAAGUCCGGGGCUUAACCCCGGAUCUGCGGUGGGUACGGGCAGACUAG